rnacentral:rRNA from 1 species
CCCUUAGGUGUUCUGGGCCGCACGCGUGCUACACUGAGUGGAUCAGCGGGUCAGGUUACGCGAGAGCGUUUCCUAAUCUUCAAAUCCGCUCGUGAUGGGGAUUGACGGUUGCAAUUUUCCGUCAUGAACGAGGAAUACCUUGUAAGCGCGGGUCAUCAUCCCGCGCUGAAUACGUCCCUGCCCUUUGUACACACCGCCCGUCGCUCCUACCGAUUGAGUGGUCCGGUGAGGCUUUGGGAUCUAAGCGAAAAGAGCGUUUCGCUCCUUUUGCUGGGAGAACUCAGUCGAACCUUAUCAUUUAGAGGAAGGAGAAGUCGUAACA